GAAAACCCUAAUUACUUUUGACAAAAGCCUACUCUUCUGCAGACAUGAAGCUUCAAAAACGACUCUCUUGUCAUUUCCACACAAACCUUUCGUUUGUCUCAUUUGUUUUAGACUUCUCCUUCUCUCUUCAUAACGUUGCAACUGACAUCAAACUUCUCUUCCAAAUUUAAUCUCCUCUCAACUUUGCUAUGGCAGGAACCUUUGAGAAAUUGAAGUUCAUCAAUGAAACCAAGGAACUCUGGAAAAUUGCAGUCAAAAUCCAUCACAAAUGAAACCAAAGAGCACUUCGAGAUGAUUCUACACGACAAAGAGGGCACUGAUAUACACUGUAGAGUACCUUACGCUUGUAAACAGACUUAUGACUCUGUUUUAACAACACAUAUACCAGUUCUGAAGCAGUGCCGCAAAGAGUGAUUCACUACUUGGAGGCUGUUGUUCGGAGACGAACUUUAUCUCUUCAAUUUGCAUUCAUGAUGACUGAUAUAUGAAACACCUAAUAAUUGACACUUGAUAGAUAUUGAAAAUGGAGAAAGAGGUAUUGAAUGUUCUUCAGUUCCAAUUAUCUAUUCCUACAAUCAAAACAUUCCUCAGGAGAUUCAUCCAAGCUACACAAUCUUCUUACAAGGUACUUAACAUGUCUGUCUCUAAUUGUAAUUCAAUGUUUCAUUAGCUUCCUAUAUUUCACCAUCAUACUUUGUGAUGACAGUGUGAAAAGAAAACAAAGAAAUAUUGGAAGUAAUUCAAAAAUUAAAGCAGUUUGUUCAGGAAAACUGUAAUUACGAGUCAAUCAUCUAAUUAAAAUUCAACAAACAGUGCAACUCACUCCCGUGAUAUUUCAGUCAUAGUUUGUUCUAUGAUAUUACAAUCUUGAUUCAAUCACCUUAUAGAUUGAAUGACUCCUAUAGUUAGCAUACAUUCAACAAAGGUUUGUUAUAAUACUAACAUGAUCUUUGGAAGCAUUUUUGACUUAGCCUUAUGUUGUGAAAUUGUGAAUACUGAUAUUAUUUUCAUUGCUUCUG